GACAGAGGGUGCAAACGUUGUUCGGAAUUACUGGGCGUAAAGCGCGUGUAGGCGGCUCGGAAAGUCGGAUGUGAAAGCCCUGGGCUUAACCUAGGAAGUGCAUUCGAAACUCCCGAGCUUGAGUUCUGGAGAGGAAGGCGGAAUUCUCGGUGUAGAGGUGAAAUUCGUAGAUAUCGGGAGGAACACCGGUGGCGAAGGCGGGUCUCUGGGCAGUAACUGACGCUGAGGAGCGAAAGCGUGGGGAGCGAACAGG
rnacentral:rRNA from 1 species